UACGGAGGGUGCAAGCGUUUAAUCGGAAUUACUGGGCGUAAAGAGCGUGUAGGCGGCCAGGUAGGUCGGUUGUGAAAACUGGAGGCUCAACCUUCAGAGGUCGACCGAAACCAUCUGGCUAGAGUCCGGGAGAGGAGAGUGGAAUUCCUGGUGUAGCGGUGAAAUGCGCAGAUAUCAGGAAGAACACCCGUGGCGAAAGCGGCUCUCUGGAACGGUACUGACGCUGAGACGCGAAAGCGUGGGGAGCGAACAGG
rnacentral:rRNA from 1 species